UGGGGAAUAUUGGGCAAUGGGCGAAAGCCUGACCCAGCGACGCCGCGUGAGGGAAGAAGAUCUUCGGAUUGUAAACCUUAGUCAACAGGGACGAAGAAAGAGACGGUACCUGUGGAGGAAGCCACGGCUAACUACGUGCCAGCAGCCGCGGUAAUACGUAGGUGGCGAGCGUUAUCCGGAAUUACUGGGUGUAAAGGGUGUGUAGGCGGGCCGGCAAGUCAGAUGUGAAAACUAUGGGCUUAACCCAUAGCCUGCAUUUGAAACUGCAGGUCUUGAGAGUGGGAGAGGUAAACGGAAUUCCCGGUGUAGCAGUGAAAUGCGUAGAUAUCGGGAGGAACAUCGGUGGCGAAGGCGGUUUACUGGACCACAACUGACGCUGAGACACGAAAGCGUGGGGAGCAAACAGGAUUAGAUACCCUGGUAGU
rnacentral:rRNA from 1 species